AAAAUUCAAAACAGAAGCUAAUACUCAACCCAAAGCAACUUUAAUCAAUCAUGAACAUGUCUUAAAAAGGACCAAGUCAAAAGCAUUAGGCAAAUCCAUUUCAUGUGCAAGAGAAGGAAAAGGCAAAUCCAAAGCUCACAAAUGAUCAUCAUGAAUGAAAAUUCCAUAUCAAAACAGAAAUGACUCAAACAAUCAUGGAAAAAUUCAUGAGAAAUCAACAUGUCCACCAUAAUCAUCAUGCCAAAAAUCA
rnacentral:lncRNA from 1 species